UGUGGGGCAGUAAUAUGAAGUACGUAAGGUUUUGGUCCUUAAGGUGAAAGUUAUAAGUCUUUUCUCUGCAG
rnacentral:tRNA from 1 species